rnacentral:rRNA from 1 species
GACGAACGCUGGCGGCGUGCUUAACACAUGCAAGUCGAGCGGUAAGGCCCCUUCGGGGGUACACGAGCGGCGAACGGGUGAGUAACACGUGAGCAAUCUGCCCAUCACAUCGGGAUAACCCCGGGAAACCGAAGCUAAUACCGAAUACGACCACCUCCGGCAUCGGAUGGUGGUGGAAAGUUCCGGCGGUGAUGGAUGAGCGCGCGGCCUAUCAGCUUGUUGGUGGGGUAACGGCCCACCAAGGCUGCGACGGGUAGCCGGCCUGAGAGGGUGACCGGCCACACUGGGACUGAGACACGGCCCAGACUCCUACGGGAGGCAGCAGUGGGGAAUAUUGGACAAUGGGCGAAAGCCUGAUCCAGCAACGCCGCGUGAGGGAUGACGGCCUUCGGGUUGUAAACCUCUUUCAGCAGGGACGAAGCGCAAGUGACGGUACCUGCAGAAGAAGCACCGGCCAACUACGUG